AGUCGGGAAUUUUGGGCAAUGGGCGAAAGCCUGACCCAGCAACGCCGCGUGAGGGAUGAAGGCCUUCGGGUCGUAAACCUCUGUCGGGAGGGAAGAACGUUCCCGGGGUGAACAAUCCCGGGGGCUGACGGUACCUCUAGAGGAAGCGCCGGCUAACUCCGUGCCAGCAGCCGCGGUAAUACGGAGGGCGCAAGCGUUAAUCGGAAUUACUGGGCGUAAAGCGUGCGCAGGCGGUCAUGCAAGACAGAUGUGAAAUCCCCGGGCUCAACCUGGGAACCGCAUUUGUGACUGCACGACUCGAGUGCGGCAGAGGGGGAUGGAAUUCCGCGUGCAGCAGUGAAAUGCGUAGAUAUGCGGAGGAACACCGAUGGCGAAGGCAGUCCCCUGGGCCUGCACUGACGCUCAUGCACGAAAGCGUGGGGAGCAA
rnacentral:rRNA from 1 species